UACGUAGGGCGCGAGCGUUAAUCGGAAUUACUGGGCGUAAAGUGUGCGCAGGCGGCUUCGCAAGUCGAGUGUGAAAUCCCCGAGCUUAACUUGGGAAUUGCGCUCGAAACUACGGAGCUGGAGUGUGGCAGAGGAAGGUGGAAUUCCACGUGUAGCGGUGAAAUGCGUAGAGAUGUGGAGGAACACCGAUGGCGAAGGCAGCCUUCUGGGCCAACACUGACGCUCAGGCGCGAAAGCGUGGGGAGCAAACAGG
rnacentral:rRNA from 1 species